CUGCCAUAUCACACUGAAACACCAGUUCCUGUAUGAUAAUUGAAGUUAAACAAUGUUAAGCUUUGUCAGUACCUUGAUGGGUGACCACUUGGGAAUACCAGGUGGUGUAAG